ACCAAAGGACAAUACAGAUCUGUCAAAACCUCAUCCACCAAAAUAUUCAUCAUUCUCAAAUAUUCAUCCUCUGGACAAGGGUUUGUAUAGUAUCCUUUUUUAGACAAUCACAAUGAAUGGAUGAAUAAAUCUCUCUCUCUCUCUCUCUCUCUCACUCGCUGCAAAAGAAGGAAGUUCAACACUUUCUCAACACUCAGAGGAAUCGCUGCAGGAGUCCCAACUGCCAAGUAUAUCACAGCCUCUUGAAG